GAUGAACGCUGGCGGCGUGCCUAAUACAUGCAAGUCGAGCGAACAGACGAGGAGCUUGCUCCUCUGACGUUAGCGGCGGACGGGUGAGUAACACGUGGAUAGCCUACCUAUAAGACUGGGAUAACUUCGGGAAACCGGAGCUAAUACCGGAUAAUAUAUUGAACCGCAUGGUUCAAUAGUGAAAGACGGUUUUGCUGUCACUUAUAGAUGUAUCCGCGCCGCAUUAGCUAGUUGGUAAGGUAACGGCUUACCAAGGCAACGAUGCGUAGCCGACCUGAGAGGGUGAUCGGCCACACUGGAACUGAGACACGGUCCAGACUCCUACGGGAGGCAGCAGUAGGGAAUCUUCCGCAAUGGGCGAAAGCUUGACGGAGCAACGCCGCGUGAGUGAUGAAGGUCUUCGGAUCGUAAAACUCUGUUAUUAGGGAAGAACAAAUGUGUAAGUAACUAUGCACGUCUUGACGGUACCUAAUCAGAAAGCCACGGCUAACUACGUG
rnacentral:rRNA from 1 species